rnacentral:rRNA from 1 species
UACGGGGGGGGCAAGCGUUGUUCGGAAUUACUGGGCGUAAAGGGCUCGUAGGCGGCCAACUAAGUCGGAUGUGAAAUCCCCAAGCUUAACUUGGGAACUGCAUCCGAUACUGGAUGGCUUGAAUCCGGGAGAGGGAUGCAGAAUUCCAGGUGUAGCGGUGAAAUGCGUAGAUAUCUGGAGGAAUACCGGUGGCGAAGGCGGCAUCCUGGACCGGCAUUGACGCUGAGGGGCGAAAGCUAGGGGAGCAAACGGG